UACGGGGGGGGCAAGCGUUGUUCGGAAUUACUGGGCGUAAAGGGCUCGUAGGUGGCCAACUAAGUCGGACGUGAAAUCCCUCGGCUUAACCGGGGAACUGCAUCCGAUACUGGAUGGCUUGAGUUCGGGAGAGGGAUGCGGAAUUCCAGGUGUAGCGGUGAAAUGCGUAGAGAUCAUGAGGAAGACCAGUGGCGAAGGCGGGUCUCUGGACAGUUCCUGACACUGAGACACGAAGGCCAGGGGAGCAAACGGG
rnacentral:rRNA from 1 species